rnacentral:lncRNA from 1 species
UGUCAAUCAAAUAGGGUACGAAGCUUUUGGUGAUUUCUUAAUAAAGCAUUCGAGUUUGGUCUUUUGUGUUAUAAUUAUAAUAAGCAUGUAGUUAUCAAUGCAUACCAAAGUAUAGCUUUGCAUCAAGUAAGGUAGAGUAAAUUUGGAUGUGACAAUCUUCAUAAGAUUUUGCAUACAAUAUUAGCAUUCCUAAUGUCUUUAUAGUUUAUAAAAUUAUAUUCUUACAAUACAAUGGACGUAAUAUAGGCAAACAUUACUAUCUGCCAUUACUUUGAAUAAUUCUAUUUUGACCUGUUUCAAGGAAACAUUUAUGCAACAAUUCAAUCUACCACUUUUUCGGUAGCAGUUAACAAGGGAUCGAAGAAGAAUUCCAUCUAAGUCUAAAAACCAUUAGCGUCUAUACUGAAAAACAAAAUGCAAUGGUGGAUCAGACCGUGCUCUCGUUCUUCAUUUGGGCAUACACAUUAUAUAGACUCAGCUUUACCUGUCAGUGGGACGGCAAAUCAGCA